rnacentral:rRNA from 1 species
UGCUUGGUGUCUUCGCUUCGGCAAGGCCCUUGCUUAAAUCACAUCCUAACACCUGUGAACUGUAAGACGUAUGAUGAGGUCUUUGGCCAAGUCAUCGUCUGCCCAUUUUUAACAAACAAUUAAUGUAACAAACGUAGCCUUAUUAUAACCUAAUAAAACUUUCAACAACGGAUCUCUUGGCUCUCGCAUCGAUGAAGAACGCAGCGAAAUGCGAUAAGUAAUGUGAAUUGCAGAAUUCAGUGAAUCAUCGAAUCUUUGAACGCACCUUGCGCUCUUUGGUAUUCCGAAGAGCAUGCCUGUUUGAGUGUCAUGAAAAUAUCAACCUUGACUUGGGUUUUGUGCUCUAGUCUCGGCUUGGAUUUGGGUGCUUGCCGCUUUAACGAGUGGCUCACCUUAAAUGUAUUAGCUGGAUCUGUCUUUGAGACUUGGUUUGACUUGGCGUAAUAAGUAUUUCGCUAAGGACAUUCUUCGGAGUGGCCUCGUUUCUAGGACGCUUGUCCGCUUUCCAAUACAAGUUCCACCUCGUGGACAUGACUUUUUUAUUAUCUGGCCUCAAAUCAGGUAGGACUACCCGCUGAACUUAAGCAUAUCAAUAAGCGGAGGAA